rnacentral:rRNA from 1 species
AUUGAACGCUGGCGGCAGGCUUAACACAUGCAAGUCGAACGAGUGGCGGACGGGCGAGUAAUGCUUGGGAACCUAGCUUAUGGAGGGGGAUAACUACGGGAAACUGUAGCUAAUACCGCGUACCAUAGGAUGAGCCCAAGCGGGAUUAGGUAGUUGGUGGGGUAAAGGCUCACCAAGCCGACGAUCCCCAGCUGGUCUGAGAGGAUGACCAGCCACACUGGGACUGAGACACGGCCCAGACUCCUACGGGAGGCAGCAGUGGGGAAUAUUGCGCAAUGGGGGCAACCUGACGCAGCCAUGCCGCGUGAGUGAAGAAGGCCUUCGGGUUGUAAAGUUCUUUUGGUAGCGAAGCGUUAACUACAGAGGAAGCACCGGCUAACUACGUGCCAGCAGCCGCGGUAAUAC